rnacentral:rRNA from 1 species
AUUGAACGCUGGCGGCAGGCCUAACACAUGCAAGUCGAACGAGUGGCGGACGGGUGAGUAAUGUCUGGGAAACUGCCUGAUGGAGGGGGAUAACUACUGGAAACGGUAGCUAAUACCGCAUACCAUCAGAUGUGCCCAGAUGGGAUUAGCUUGUUGGGGGGGUAACGGCUCACCAAGGCGGCGAUCCGUAGGGGGGCUGAGAGGACGAUCGGCCAGACUGGGACGGAGACACGGCCCAGACGCCUACGGGAGGCAGCAGUGGGGAAUUUUGGACAAGGGGGGCAACCCUGAUCCAGCCCUGCCGCGUGUAUGAAGAAGGCCUUCGGGUUGUAAAGUACUUUUGUUAGGGAAGCGGUACCUAAAGAAUAAGCACCGGCUAACUACGUGCCAGCAGCCGCGGUAAUAC